rnacentral:lncRNA from 1 species
UAUCAAGUUUUGAUUGGGUUUUUUUGGUUGUUAGGCUUAAUAUAGAUCAUACGUUCACAGGUAUUUUUUUCAUAAAAAGCCAGUUAGGUGGAGAAGACCUCGUUAUUACAUUAUCUAAUUGGAUUAAAUGGUCGUUAUGUAUUUGGUGUUUUGGAAAGGGCUUUGUCAGUCCCAACUUUUAUAUCUUGUGUACUUUAAGGAUUCUAUGUAACGUUAUAAAUAUAUGCGGUGAUGGUGUGUUCGCUUUUUUACGCGAGAAUCUAUUUGGAGUAUGGGUGUUUUUGGUUUGGGGUUUGUGGGAGCCAAAUGUUAAGACUGGGUUUUCAUUGGUGUUUGGUUCAAGGGCACAUAAGUUACUAUUGGCACACGUACUCUUUAUGAUCAAUAUGGAG